GUGCACAGGAGCAUAACAUAAUUACAAAUUGCAAUCAUCUUAAAAAUGCGUACAAGUCUGGUUUAGAAAUCUGAAUUCUGAAAAUAUCCAUGGAUGAAAUUUUUGGAGAACUCAACUAACAUCCAUGUUGUAAUACAAGAAAGCGAAAUAUUCAUAACAAGCACCACAAACACUUCGGAAAUUUAAAUCGAUACAAAAUUUCAACUAUGACCUAACUUCAUAUAGUCCAGCUCGGGUUGAAGCUCGGAACCCUUUAUAAAGACGAUUAACUACAAACUUCAGCUCUAGUUUAUCUAUUUGCAGGCCUGAGAGGGCAACACCUUGAAUCCUAAAACCCACUUGAAAUAUGGGGAAUACAUGAAGACGCUCUAAUCCUGUCUCAAGAACCAUUGUUCCAGACAACGAUGGAGUUCUAUCUUUUGGUAUUCGAUCAAUUGACCAAAUGCACAUCUACAAAUAUAUGUUAGCAAAAGAACAUUAUCAAAUUCUUGCAGGGAAAAAAAUUAAAAUCAGACUCAUCCUCCACAUCAAGAGUUUAAUUAGCCACUAACUGCAAAUAUCCCCGCAUAACAGUAGUAAAUUGAGCACAAGAAACUGGAUUGACAGUCAUAAUGUCUUCAAACAAAGAGAAAUGAGAUGGGAGACUUCUCUAUAUAAAGAAAGAAAAAAAAAUGCAAGGAAUACCUUAUAAGUCAAAACCAGAUACUAAAGGCCGUUACAAUAAUUUCUUUUGGAGUACCUUAUUAGAUAGGAUAUUCACUACUCCAUGAUUUGAAGUCAGGUCAGCUGAUAAAAUGGAAGGAGGCAAAUGAAACUGCACAGUUAUUGAGUCAAUCAUCUUUCCAGGGUCAUUUUUAAUUCCAACCAUCAGAUUGAUGCAGCAUGUACCAGCAUCAGAUGUAAGUUGUGGCUUUACAUAUAUGGGUAUGCUUUUCAACAUUUUAAUCCUGUAACUCAUGAGCUUAAACUGUCCAUCAGGAGGCACAAAUGACAGGAUCUGAUGGGACUCCCAAGGUCGAAACCGAACACACGGAUGGAACCUCACGUCAUCCAGUAUAGAUGGGUUUGUAAAUGAAAGAGUCAAAUCGGGAACACCAGUGAUAUGGGAGUUUACUUGAACUUCACCAUAUAUUUCACACUUCACCAAGACCCCAUCCCUGAACAAUGUUUGCAAUAAGAAAGAAUUGCUCAGCUUUUGCAAAAUCAUUAAGUGUAAAAAUAUGAGCUAUACAUACUAAAGAGGCAAUUUUCUUCACUAUGAAAGUCAUUAUGUGAUACCCACUAACAUUCCUACAUCAAGUGCAACCACUGAUGCUAUCGGUUAACGUAAUUCAAUCCCACUGCAUAUAAUUUUAUGGCUCUGUAUAGACAAUUAUACACUUUAAUCUUAUUUUUGAAUAUUAUUUUUCAGGUUAAGAGACAUCAAUCACAAACAAGAAAUUGUUCAAUCUUUGAACUUUCCACCCCAAUAGAAACAGUAUGUAGCGCAAUCAUCCAUAUUACAUGUAAUUUAGAGUUCCUAAUGAUAUCAAAUUUCUAGUAUCUUCCAACAUCCCUACAUUUCCCUCAGGAGAGUUCACAAUAUUCUAUUUAAAUAUUUGCUGCAGUCUCAACAGGUAUUUAUCAGACAUGCUCGUAGGAUUCACAUCUAGAAAUCUUCAAUGAGAAAUUAUUCCAUACACAGGCUCUUGGCUUAUAUAUUUUCAGCCCCAUUCAAGCACUCCUUAAUCCGUAUUGAAACUUAGAGGAUUCCUUUCAAUAGUUUUUGUGGCUGUAGAACGAGAAUGCGGAAGUGAUAUCAAAGUUUUUCACAAAGCAUGAUCCCCCUUCUACCAUGAACGCCCAUUAUAUGUUUUCAGGCUCAUCCCAAAAUCCCCCUCAUCCAUUCUCCCCAACUUUUGAAUUGCCUGGUUUUAUAUUUUGUAGUUUGCAUUUCCCUUUUUUUUAAAUAAUGAUAAUAAAAUGAGCUCGUCUAUCUUUGAAACCUUCCCUAUGUCUGUAUGAUGAAUGCCUUGAACUAAAAUUCUGUUGAUGCCUGCUUUCCUAGUAUUAUAGCAUAAAUGACUCACACACUAAUAAUUUUUAGUACAAAACAUUUCCUUUGAUCAAUGAAACAUCAAAGGAAUAUAAGCAACACCAAAGAAACAUUCAAAAAGGAACAUCAAUGAAACAGUAGUUAAGCAAUUAAUGGCUAUCUUAUUUAUGGUCCCACCUCCUAUUUAUCAUCGACUAGUGGAUGAUCUACUUUAGUACUAUGUACUGGAAACUAUUCCUAACGUAAAAUCACUGAGAAAAUAAGUCCCACUAACUAGACUCAAUCCAAUUGAAAGAUUUGAAAUUAACCAAAUUGAAAUAUAAUGAUGCAGAUGGAGAAAUCCAAAUAAACAGUUUAAAUAUGAAGUUUGAAGCAGCUUUAGGAAUAUAGAUUCAUACCUGUUUAUAAUUGCAUCCAUCUCUUCAACAAGAUCAACAUAAACUUCAUUAUUUGCAUAUUUUAUGUCCGAUGUUCUCCAUGGAACACAGGAUGAUGUUGCACCUGGCAGGGUGUCACUCACAUUUGAACUGUUACCAGUCACAACACUCAGCAUUUUGCUAACAAUAUUUGGCGGAGAUAUCAUCUCUCUCAGUAUGUUAGGUUCUGUGGUCAGAGGGAAGCCGUUGUCUAUCAUCUCAUCCAAAAGCUGCAUAUUUGAAUUAAAUUAUGUCAGUUGUAUUUGAAUUCAACACUUUUUGUAACAGGCAAAUCUUACGCACUCCCAAAUAAGGUCCAGGUACUAUAAGCUCGUUCUCGUCUAAUAACGAGUUCAGCAGCCCUUAAAUCAAAUAUUUGCUAUGAGAUUGUGCAAAGUCAAUUAUUUCAAUUAUAUGCACACUUUAAUUGACUUUGCACAAAUAUCGAAGUAAAUAUUUGAUCUAGGAACUGCUAGGCUCUUUUUAUAUAAGAACAAGCUUAUACUAGAUGCACCCUCUCAAAUAUCUCUAUCACAAUCCCAAAUUAUCUCUGUACCCAGCACGAAACUAGAAUGAGAACAGAAAGAUGAAGGAAAGUACCUCAUACACAAUGACAAAGUUAUCCUUUAUCAAAUCUUCAUUCAACCCUUCAAGGUAAUCUGAGAGAACAUCAGCUACUCUGCAAAGGAACUCAAUGGCCAUCAAAGGUGGCAUUUCAACUUGGGUACAAGCUAAAAAAGUGAUCCCCUCACGAACAAUUUGGAACAGGUAAUGCGUUGGCGAAGCAAUAACCGAUUGUUGCUUAAAGGAAUCACCUUGAGAAAUAACUUGAUUCCAAAACCAAUCACAAAUCGAUCUGUCCACUCUGUGCCCAGUUAGCUGCUUCUCUAGCAUUACCUCCCCAGAAUCGGAGAGAAGAAAUAUACACUGCAGCAUCUCUGUUCAAGCAGACAAUCUGUCAGCUGAAGGUCUUUCUCGGGUUGGGAAGGCUAGAAGCAAUGUCUCCAGUGAUAGGGGAUGUUUGGAUCGGCAGAAGUUGGCCGGCUUGAGUCGGUCCCUUUCCGUCUCUCUAUCGACUGCCAAAGAAAAGAAGCCUCAGAGUUACAGAGCUGAUAGUAUUAUUAUUAUUUUAUAAAUUAAUCCCCCUUUUUUUUUAUUUUAAAA
rnacentral:misc_RNA from 1 species